rnacentral:rRNA from 1 species
UACGUAGGGAGCACGCGUUGUCCGGAAUCAUUGGGCGUAAAGCGCGCGUAGGUGGCCCCAUAAGUCCGCUGUGAAAGUCAAAGGCUCAACCUUUGAAAGCCGGUGGAUACUGUGGGACUAGAGUACGGAAGAGGCGAGUGGAAUUCCUGGUGUAGCGGUGGAAUGCGCAGAUAUCAGGAGGAACACCAAUAGCGAAGGCAGCUCGCUGGGACGUUACUGACACUGAGGCGCGAAAGCGUGGGGAGCGAACGGG